rnacentral:rRNA from 1 species
GACGAACGCUGGCGGCGUGCUUAACACAUGCAAGUCGAGCGGUAAGGCCCUUUCGGGGGUACACGAGCGGCGAACGGGUGAGUAACACGUGGGUGACCUGCCCUCAGCUCUGGGAUAAGCCUGGGAAACUGGGUCUAAUACCGGAUAUGACUCCAUGACGCAUGUUGUGGGGUGGAAAGCCUUGUGCGGCUGAGGAUGGGCCCGCGGCCUAUCAGCUUGUUGGUGGGGNGACGGCCUACCAAGGCGACGACGGGUAGCCGGCCUGAGAGGGCGACCGGCCACACUGGGACUGAGACACGGCCCAGACUCCUACGGGAGGCAGCAGUGGGGAAUCUUGCGCAAUGGGCGAAAGCCUGACGCAGCGACGCCGCGUGAGGGAUGACGGCCU